rnacentral:tRNA from 1 species
NNGAAAGACAUAGUGGUUAUGAUGUUGGCUUGAAACCAGCUAUGGAGGGUUCGAUUCCUUCCUUUCUUA